CACUGUGAGGAGGCGGUGGCAGCAGGCCUAGCCCAGCCGCAGUUGCAACCGUCGCAGCCACGGCCUGGGCUGGGAGGAGGCGGAAGGCAGCAGGAAGGACUGGCCCUGGCCCAGACGGCGCUGGCGAGGCCUUCUCAUCGAGCUGUAAAGCAGGAGCUGCAAGACUCUGGUUCACGUAAAGCACAAUGGGAAGAAAGAGGGAAAGCCCUGUCUUCAAUAUUUUUGUAUAAUGGGCUUGUGAAGGAUUUAUGAAUGACCUGGUUGACUGCUGGACUGUGGCUUAUAUCUCCUGUAUAUUCAAAUGAGUCAGGAUGACAGAUGUUAAACAACUUGUGAAAGGAACAUUUUGUAAGAACAGCAAUUGGCUUAUAGAUUAUUUAUUUAUUUUAUUGUUGAGUUUAUAUACCGCCUUUCAUUAAAACAAUCCCAAGGCAGUUCACACAAAAAAUUAAAACAAGACUAUAAAAAUUACACAAUUAAAAUAUUAAGCUAAAAAAUAUAUUAAAACAUAGAUCUGAUUAAAAAUAUUUAAAAUAAAAUUUAGAGCAGAACUGACA